UGGGGAAUAUUGGACAAUGGGCGAAAGCCUGAUCCAGCCAUGCCGCGUGAGUGAUGAAGGCCUUAGGGUUGUAAAGCUCUUUCGGCGGGGACGAUAAUGACGGUACCCGCAGAAGAAGCCCCGGCUAACUUCGUGCCAGCAGCCGCGGUAAUACGAAGGGGGCUAGCGUUGUUCGGAAUUACUGGGCGUAAAGCGUAUGCAGGCGGAUCGUUAAGUCGGGGGUGAAAUCCCGAGGCUCAACCUCGGAACUGCCUUCGAUACUGGCGAUCUUGAGUCCGGGAGAGGUGAGUGGAACUCCGAGUGUAGAGGUGAAAUUCGUAGAUAUUCGGAAGAACACCAGUGGCGAAGGCGGCUCACUGGCCCGGUACUGACGCUGAGAUACGAAAGCGUGGGGAGCAAACA
rnacentral:rRNA from 1 species